rnacentral:lncRNA from 1 species
UUUAAGUACAUGAAUUCUGCGCUAUAUCACCUUUUAAAAAUGUCAAGCUAUGCAGCAUGGGAUAAUGAUGACAAUGCACAGAAACUUUUCUGGGAUCAAAUAAGGGAUCACCUUAGUUGAACUGUUGAUGUUUUUAUCAAAUGGAGGGUUUUGAAGCAAGAACUAUGUUGUUUCAAGAUAGAAUAAAAUUAUUGAUGAAAUAAUAAUGCUAAUAAU